UACGUAGGGUGCGAGCGUUGUCCGGAAUUACUGGGCGUAAAGCGCUCGUAGGUGGUUUGUCGCGUUGUCCGUGAAAACUCACAACUCAAUUGUGGGCGUGCGGGCGAUACGGGCAGACUGGAGUACUGCAGGGGAGACUGGAAUUCCUGGUGUAGCGGUGAAAUGCGCAGAUAUCAGGAGGAACACCGGUGGCGAAGGCGGGUCUCUGGGCCGUAACUGACGCUGAGGAGCGAAAGCGUGGGGAGCGAACAGG
rnacentral:rRNA from 1 species